rnacentral:lncRNA from 1 species
GAUAGGAAGCUAAUAUGAUAACAUUAAACUUGAUAAGUUACACCAAAAUCUCAAGAGUAGUUUGAGACUUCGAAAACUGUACAAAACAAAAGGUUAGGUGUAACUACAACAUUAUAUUUUCCAAAAAUAUUUACUUGACGCGCCCAUUCGAUCCUCUACGCGUCUCCAACUUUAGUCACCUGAAACUGUUAGAUAUGGGAUGAGCAUAUGAAAUACACUCAGUGUGGGAACAUGCAAUAAUUGUCCAUGUUAAUAAAAUGGUCAACACAUAUGCACUGCACUGUAAUACUGAUAACUGAAAUUCGCACGGUGGCAUACCAAGGACUUUAAUGUCCUGGACCCAUUGAGCGGGCCCCUGGCGAAUAGGUUGCAACCCUAACUGUAACAUGAAAUCGCAUUGUGGCAUACCAAGGACGGUGAAGUCCUGGACCCAUUGAGCGGGCCCCUAGCGAUAUAACUGAAUUUACAACACAUAUGGCAAACACACAAUAUUAAAAUGGACAAAGAUUAACCACAUCAUGAACUGAAAUAAAUCCCACAC